UCGUUUCUCACAUUCGCCAUUUCUGUCACGAGCGACGCCUAGGGUUCCUGCGGCCACGCCGGAAUCGCCGCCAGGAAUCGUCCAGCGGACGCCGCCGCCGGUCGCCGAAUCGAGACCCGACGCCCUCGAAUAUUUGAUUCCCAUCCGCCGCCCCUGCCCAAAGCCAGCAUCGAGUUGUCUUUGGGCGAGGGGGCCGCGAGCCGCUGUCCGCUCGCCGCCCGUUCCACGAGCACCGCCGGCCUCAAGUUGGACGAGAGCGCCAUCGGCCCUCAAGGUGGGCUGCCUGCGUGCCGCGUUUAGGACGGAUCAGCCAUGGCGGCGGCCGGAUCGAGCAGGCGCACAUGAGGCCGACCACUUCCCAGGCGGCCGGAUCGGCCAUGGCGGUGCAGCGCUGGGGCCAGGCCGAUGUUCUUGGCACCGUUGCCCCUGCGUGAUGGAUCAGGGGCCCUUGCCUCCGUCACCCGCCCCUUCUGGUCUUGCAAGUCGAUGGAGUCUAUGUUAGCUCCCCAAAUGUAGUAGCAGUUCUUGACCAUGCGAGGAAACACUCAUUUGUCAUAAGAGAGGAAGGACUUCCUGACUUUGUUGUGUGGAAUCCGUGGGAAAAGAAAUCAAAGACUAUGGUGGACUUUGCUGAUGAGGAGUACAAGCAGAUGCUUUGUAUUGAUGCGGCCGUGGUGAAGAGAGUGAUCGCCCUGAAAUGAGGAGUGGACAGGGAAACUGGAGCUAUCUGCAGUUUCAUCCACCAGCUGCAGCGAUCAUCCCGUCAGCAUCUAGCGUAUAGUGUGGAAGUUCACAUUUCAUAGUGCUAUAUGGUGUUCGCAUUAUUAGAGAAGUGAGAACCUCCUUUGUACAUCAGUAAUAACUGAUAAGUAGGUGCACGUGCACCUAUGAUCAGUCAGCUGCUCGAAUUGAUCUAGAAUCGGGGCAACGGAAAUUUGUGACCUGGUCUCUAGAAUCUAGUGGUAGUAGUGCCUUGCUUCAGGCAUAAGCAUAAUGCACCCAAAUGGCAAGAUUACGUUUUUGCCUUGUUUUCUCAAGAUUUCUGGUCAUAUAAUGUAGCCAUCAUGAUUUGACUGGACA